CACCAUCAAGAAGGCAGCUCCCGCAGAAGACGGCACCACAAGCACAUCCCCAGGAACAAAUGAAACAGUCACCGCCGAGGCAGAGACCGAGAAGGCACCUGCCACAGAGCACAAGCCGAGGGAGGUGAGCUCGGAGGAGGUAAAAGAGAAGGAAGCCACAGCCGAUGCAGUCAGCGCCGAGAGCUAGAGCAAUCCCAUACCCCCUUGUGGUGGCAAUAAAUCUGUGUCAUUCAGUAUGUAAUCUGUACCAGCACGUUGGACAUGGGGAUAUGGUGCUGGUGCGCUGUUAUUGUUAGUCGGUAAAAUGGAGUGCUGGAUAUUACUGGGGUAGCGGGGUGUGCGUGUGCCUCCCCUUUGUUAAGCCGUCUGUUGAUACUUUUGGGUGAAUAAUUUAGCUGUUGUCUAAAGUAUCUC
rnacentral:lncRNA from 1 species